AGAGUUUGAUCCUGGCUCAGGAUGAACGCUAGCGACAGGCUUAACACAUGCAAGUCGAGGGGCAGCGCGGUGGUGGCAACACCACUGGCGGCGACCGGCGCACGGGUGAGUAACACGUAUGCAACCUGCCCUCCACAGGGGGAUAAUCGGGAGAAAUCCCGUCUAAUACCGCAUAACGCCGUCCGGGGGCAUCCCCGGUUGGCCAAAGGAGCGAUCCGGUGGGGGCUGGGCAUGCGCCGCAUUAGCCAGUUGGCGGGGUAACGGCCCACCAAGGCGACGAUGCGUAGGGGUUCUGAGAGGAAGGUCCCCCACACUGGUACUGAGACACGGACCAGACUCCUACGGGAGGCAGCAGUGAGGAAUAUUGGUCAAUGGGCGGAAGCCUGAACCAGCCAAGUCGCGUGAGGGAAGACGGUCCUAUGGAUUGUAAACCUCUUUUGUCGGGGAGCAAGGGGCGCCACGAGUGGCGUCAAGCGAGAGUACCCGAAGAAAAAGCAUCGGCUAACUCCGUGCCAGCAGCCGCGGUAAUACGGAGGAUGCGAGCGUUAUCCGGAUUUAUUGGGUUUAAAGGGUGCGUAGGCGGGACGCCAAGUCAGCGGUAAAAUGUCGGGGCUCAACCCCGUUGUGCCGUUGAAACUGGCGUUCUUGAGUGGGCGAGAAGUAUGCGGAAUGCGUGGUGUAGCGGUGAAAUGCAUAGAUAUCACGCAGAACUCCGAUUGCGAAGGCAGCAUACCGGCGCCCUACUGACGCUGAAGCACGAAAGCGUGGGUAUCAAACAGGCUUAGAUACCCUGGUAGUCCACGCAGUAAACGAUGAACACUAAUUGUCCGGCGCGAAUGAGCGCUGGGUGAUACAGCGAAAGCGUUAAGUGUUCCACCUGGGGAGUACGCCGGCAACGGUGAAACUCAAAGGAAUUGACGGGGGCC
rnacentral:rRNA from 1 species